UCGCUUCCUAGAAAGAGAAGUUAACAGUCAAAUUCAUCAAGUGUCUAGAGCAGCAACGUCUAACAGAAUUUCCUAUGAUGCUAGAAAUGUUCAACACCUAGAGUGCCCAUUAUAGGAGCCACUAGAAUUUAAAAUACAGUCAUCGGGAAUGAAAGGUUAAAUUUAAAUACCCACACCUCAGAAAGACUUCCAUGCUGGAAGAUCACUGACUGCAUUAAAUGUCAGAAAUACCUCCAAAAGUUCCUAGAAUUACAAACAGCUUUUCAUAGUCUCAGAUCAAUUUUAAUAAAUACUUAUGCUCCCUGGGAUUUCAUGGACCAUAAACUUUUAGAAAAUUAUUAUUGUGUGUAUACAUGUGCUGUGUCAUCUGUAUGGAGAUCAGAGGAAAACUCUGGAUUUACUUUUGUCCCUCAGGUUUCCCAUGCAUUCUGGGGACUGAACUCGGGCUCUCAGGCUUGAACAAGCACUGUACCCAGUAAGCCAUGUCACUGACCCACACCAGGAUCAUGACUUGUUUGUUUUUUCAAGACAGAGUCUCUCUGUGUGUAGCUCUGGCUGUCCUGGGACUUGCUCUGUAGGUCAGGCUGGCCAUGAACUCAAAGAUCCACCAGCCUUUGCCUCCAGAGUGCUGGAAUUAAAGGUGUGUGCCCCCACUGCCAGUGGACCGUGGAUCUUCUAAGUGGCUAGCAUAGCCCUUUACAGUGGUCUUCAGAACAAAGUUUCAAAAGGCAAAGAAUACUUUAACACAAAACAACAGUGCUGCCUCAAACAACACCUUAAUUUUUAACACAGGAUAAUUUUUUCACACAUGUUUUGGAGGAAAAUAAGUACAUUCUUAUGACUUGUAUUAUUGUACCUAAUACAAGAACACUAUGCCAUUCCAAUGAACAUUAAAGGUGAUAUUCCAGAAUAUGUUUCAAUUAUGACUUGCAUAAUUAGCAGACUAAGAGAGAACAGGCUAUGUAAUUCCUGUUCCACAGGCGACUUAAAUAAUGUACUGACUGACCCUUCAUGUAGUUUACAUAAAUGCAAUUAUAAGUUGUUUCUUGCUGGAGAUGAUGGUGCACACCUUUGAUUCCAGCACUUACAAGGCUGAGGCAGGUAGGUCUCUGAGUUCAAGGCCAGCAUGAUCUACAUGGUGAGUUCCAGGACAACCAGGGCUAUGCAGGGGGGAGAGGGGGAGUGGCUUAUUAGAUAUUAUCUUGGAAAUCAAGUUACAUUUUUUAAAAAUUAAAAGUUUAACUUCAAAAGCGCUUACUUACUUGCUACUCACAAUCAAGAAAAGCAGAUUUGCUUAGAGUGCUGGGGGGGGGGGUGUUUGGUUUGUUUUAGUUACUAUUUGAGUGGGGGCAGUGUAUGCAAGUGCUGCUGCAGGCACGGUUGUGAGCCUCUGGACCGACGCUGGAAUCUCAACCCGAGGCCUCUGCAAGAGCACCGAGCACGCUCUUAGUCACUGAGCUUUGUCUCCGGCCCUCUGCUAAAAGCAUCUUGAAAAGAGGCGCUGGUCUUCAGACUUUCGCUUUAAAAUCUUCUAUCUCCAGGAGAAGAGCUUUAAAACAUUCUGGAGAGGCCUCACAAAGUCACUGUCUUUCCUCUUAUUACCCUGGUCUAUCCGCACAAGAUGCAAAGAGCUGGCACUGUGUUACCAGCUGCUUCUUAGGACCCUAAGAGCGCCCCAUGAGUCUGACUUACACUCUUCUCAAGUAAGCACCUGCAGGGAAGCGCUCUCAAGCUAAGGAAAUGUGAAGGUGCUCACUCGGUCACAACAUUCGCCUGUGACACUUUGUGAGGCACACAUGUUUUUGAGUGGGACAAGAGUUCAAAGACGACUGUCUUUUAUAACCAUCAAAUUGUUCUUUCAAAUUUCCUUCUCUUAAAAUUUUGUAUGUGUGUAUGUGUUUGGUAUAUGCACAGCUGUGUGUGCAUGCAUGUACAUAAGCCUGAAGAGGGAUGAAGUACCCUCCUCCACCACUACCCUCAGCUGUGUUCUUCUGAGGCAGUGUCUCUCACUGAAUCUGGGGCUUUCAUUUUCUGGCUGGGUAGGCAGCCACUGACCCAAAGGUCCUCCUGGUUCCAAUCCUUCAGCACUAGCAUUACAGGUGUGAACAGCACCACGGUCAGCUUUUUUACAGAGGUACUGGGAUCUGAACUCAUAUUCCCAUGCUUUUACAGGAGGGGCUCUUAGCCACUAAGAUAUCCCUCCAUGUUUUAUUGAUCUCAAGCCCACUGAGGAGAUGGAGGAGAGUGCAGGCAGACUUUGGCUCACUUUGCUCACUGACAUACUUUAAUGCCUUGCAUACAACAGACAUUUAGAAAACAAAAGGUGGGGCUGGGGAUUUAGCUCAGUGGUAAAGCGCUUGCCUAGGAAGCGCAAGGCCCUGGGUUCGGUCCCCAGCUCCGAAAAAAAAGAACCAAAAAGAAAAAAAAAGAAAAAAAAAAAAGAAAACAAAAGGUAAUGAAAUUAGAGAAAAAUCUGUGGGAAGCAUGGAUUAAUUAACCACACAGAUGCUGAGAGGGAGAGGGGGAGAGGAGGAAGAAGAAAAACAAACGAAACCCAACCCACUACUCAGAUCAAGACAUCUGUAUUUUAUUCAAUACUUCAUGUUCUGAGCAAGUCAGACACUGCAGAGAAUCUCAGAAGUGCCAGCCUGAGAAGCAAAUGGGCCGACUGGAAGCUCUUCAGACCCUCUCGCUCCUCAGUGAGUUGGCACUAGAGAAAGAGCACACCCGAGUCCUUAUGGGCCAGAAGUCCUUAUGUUUCAGAAGGUUCGAGCAAUUUGGCACCACACUUAUUUGAGUAGUUCCUGAGAACUGCCCACUUCCUGGGUUCUUAAGAUCCAAUGCCAAAAAAGUUCCAGGGUUUGAGGCUGGUGGCAGCUCUGUGACGGGCCUACACCUAGUGACAUCAAAAGACCAUCUCCUGAAGGCCCCAAGUGGAUAUUUGGGAGACAUACGGCAUGUCAGUUACAAAGCAGUGGCAUUUUUGGGGAGUGCGGGAUUUAAAAGCAUGGAUUUAUAAUAACUCAUUUUAAAAUUCAUUUGCCAGGGCUAGGGAGAUAGCUCAGAGGGUAAAGCCCUUGCUGUGUACACUAGAUGACUCUCGAGUUCAACCCACGGGCCCCAUGUAAAGAUGUCAUGAUCUCAGAAAGGUAACCACUUCUCAGUAGGAGAUGGCUUGGGUUUCCGGAUUAGUGUCGCGUCCUGCUCCUGAAGAGGACUGGGGGAGACUCAUAUUCCUGAAUGCUCGCUCACCCCUUCCCAGGCGCAGUCAAUCAGAGAGCAUUGGGGACCCUUUCAGUCUAACGACUGCACUGCACGAGAAGACUCACAGUGGGGGCUAGCUGAGCUGCUGACUCGCAUUUCUAUCAGAUUUCAAGAUCACAAUGUGGGGUGCUUCACACAAGGCAUGGCUGCUAUGAAUUCAGUGUUACCAGGAAGAAAAUGAGUGGUGCUCUUCAUUUAGUCCCGAACUUUAUUUUUUUGUUGAUAAGGAACUCAUUUAAAGACACUAAAAAGAACUGUGAAUUUAACAGAUGGUGUUAACUCUUGGAGGGAGAACAGUUGGGCCAGUGACAGGCUCUAUCCUGACGCUCUAUCCUGAACCUUCUCAGUCUGUCCUCCAAGAGCUGUUUUCUACAUGUGUAAGUAGGUCACCUAAGAGCUUUCUUUCUGAUUCUCAAACUGUAAUGAGAGAAUUUAAAUGUCCCCUCAGCCCUCCUACCAUUUCACUCAGCCCCAUUUAAAAUCAAGUCCCUGUGGCUCUUAGUAAGCAUGUGAAAUGCACAAUCACACACGGAAAAACGCAUCUUCAUGUGACAAUUGUUUCUUCUUCCUGCACAGAAAAUCCGGCAGUUCAGGUCCCCAGUGGUAGACUGAGGAAUGAAUGAGUGGAAGUUGUCGUGGUCUGUACCAUGAUCCUCCCAGGUCACUAAACUUACACAUUGGUUAAAAAAAAAAAAAAAAAAAAAAAAAAAAGAAGCAUCUACUUACUGUGCCUCUUCAGAAGACUCUUGUUUUAUUUUUAACGUUCUCUUUGAAACUGGCAUAUCAUCUGAAAAACAAAGAAUUUUAAAGUAAAUUAUAUUUUCCUGAGUAGUGGUAUACAUUUACGUGAGUUAAGUAGCUCUGUUUACUGCCUGUUCUGUACUUUAUCCUGGAGUCUAACACUGUCCCAUACCAGAUUUAAAAAUGUAACUUUAUAUAAUGAGAUGCGAACAUUUAUAUGCAAGAUCAGAAACCAGGCUCCACAUGCAUAAAGCUCCUCAAGGUCACCAGUGGAUUUCAAGCAAGGAGCUUAAAGCUUAAUUUUGCUGCCAACAUGAUUUUAAAAGAACAAGAAUGGAAAUGACUCUGCUCUAUUUAGGUUUUCUGUGUAGGUUUUACAGGGUAAGUAAUUAUCCCCCAAUACGAGGAUCAGCAUAGUCUGCAUUCCUCGGGGCCUGGUGACUUAACUCUUCACAGCAAACAGGGUUAUGAUAUGCUGCGGUGGCUCAGGCCUUAUUGUUCUUGUGAGAUGAAGAGACAAGAUCAUUUAACAUCCAUUCAUAGUCUUCAAAUCUUCACAUUCUUUUACAUAUGGCUAAUAAUCUUAACAAUUUGGAGCCUCUUUCCUUUUUCCCUUCCAACAUUUGGGAGAAAUUAAAAUUGCAUCAAUAGAAAACACAAUAGCUCACUCCUUUCCUUUAUUUCUCUAUCAUCAGCAAGAUUUCUGUUGUUUUUUUUUUUUCCUUAAGCAAGGGAAACAAAUUUAUACUGCCAACCCUGCCUGCACUUUCUCAGAGUCACCUGAGCACUUCCCUUGGCAGAAGGGCAUUUCCUACUAACACACUCAUUACACAACUAGCUGCCGAUGUACACAGGCUAUAGCUAAAACCUGAUCAGUUCCCAAAUACGAAAGUCAAACUGGGAGCACCUGACAUACAGUGAUACACGCAAACAAAAACUGCAUGUAGCCUCUUAACUGGACCACAUAAAUGUAGACUUAAAGUAGUUGGGCCAAGAGUCAGUGCUCUUAGCAGGAAGUCUUAGUGCUUACAAAGAGCAGGGGUAUUUUGAAUUGUGUAAAGUUCUGACAGUGAACCUCCUUCUGUGACUUGGGUUAGGAAGUCUUCUAUCUUUGGGGAAAUUAACAGUUCCCAAGUCACCAAGUAGCCAAUAGCAAUCACGACUUAAUGGUUUGAUGCUAAACCAAGGAUGCUCAUGUUGACUCAAACAGUUUGGCAAUAUGCCUUGUGCUGAUAGCACUAGAAGUCAUUACAGAUGGCAAAUACCAUUGCACUACCAGGUAGACAGACAGACAGACAGACAGACAGACACACACACACACACACACACACACACACACACACACACACACACACACACACUGUUUUCUUACCCAAUUCCUGAUCUGUUGGAUAGCCAUGGAGAUCCUGACUGUGGUUUCCCCAGUCCUCCUGUGAAUAGUCCUCCAUAGUGCUGCCAUCUGACUCCAGCUCCUGGUACAAGCCACUACUGUUAAUAAGUACAGGCUGGCAGGGCUGAGCAUCCCAUCCUCCCUGACCAAACACCUGUUCCAACUGUUCAAAUGUGUAACUGCUCUUUCUUUUCCCAACACCAUGUUCUUUCACCCGACUGUAACACCUGCGAAGGGUCUAAGACACAAAGUCUUUUGUUAUUCCUUUAAAGCUGUACUUCCUCCUCCAGAUACGGACCACAGAUAUUAAUUACUGUCAGACAGACACAGACAGACAAACAGACACAUUGUUACAGGAAUGCUAUUUCAAAUUCAUUAUUAUAUUAGAAAAAUACUAGUUUAGCAUUUACUCAAACAUGUUAUAAUUCAAACAAUUAUUUUGCAAUUAUCAAUUAAAACAACAAGAAACAUUACAACAUUAUUGCAUAUACCCAAUACACAUAUUUUAUGCCCCCUCCCCCAUUUAAAAAGGAUAAGGGGGAGGAAAAAAAGAAAUACCAGCCAGCCAAUAGGAUGCACACCUGCCACAGGAGAGAGAGCUGCUAUGGUGCCCAGAAUUUGGAAAACGUGAGGGAAAGAGGACAGAAAGAAGAAUUUCCCCAAGUGGAAAACAUCGUCCUUAGUCUUCGUUAAGAACAGGGGAAAAUAGCUGUCUAGACCAAGUAGCUAACAAAACAGAUCACUUACAGAGUCUGUUCCUUCCUAACUCACUCUGUCAUGGCAAAAAUGUCUACAACUGGAGCAGCAAUCAAAUCAAAUGCCUGUCACAAGCCCCUAGUCUCAGACACAAAGACCAAUAAUAGCACAUUAAUACCUACAUUUUACUAAUCUAUCAACUCACACUGCCAGCUAAACAAAUCAACAAACCAACCAACAAGGCUGACGUCCUUCUCAGGUGGGUGAGGAAGGGAGCCAUCUCAUCAUUCGGCACAGCAGGUAAAUGCAUUAUACAAGCUUAAACAAAACCUGGGUAACUUCUGCCUUGUUCCACUCUCUCAUUUUCUAGGGUCUUUAUUUCUACUAUAUAUUUCAGACUGGCCCAGUUCCUGAAAUUAAUAGUACACCUCAUGCUAUCUUACCAGGUACAUCAAAAGGACACCAAGGACUCAGUCUCAACUUGAACCCAGCCACAUUCAGGCUGUGCGAUGUCUGCCUGUUUGCUUUCCUUUCCUUCUAAUCACUCUUCCCCAUCACACGGUUUCACUGACAAUUUGCUUGAGACAAAACCCCCUUUCCCUAAUGGCUCCUAAAUAUUUUCUAAUUUAGCUGCUAAAACUAGUACAUCUCUAACCUAAUGUAUAAGCAUUGUCAAGACUAUAAGACUUUCCUAAAGGAGAGAUUACCUUCCAUCAGCCAACAUAUGACCUAUUCUCACCAAACUAAAACAAGUCUGGAACUUUACGGAUCUCCGUGAGGUGCAGGAUCUUUAAAUCACAAUUGACAAACUACAAGACACUUCCUCAAGGACUCUUUAAAAAUCUGUUCCCUGAGGCCUGAAAUCCAAAUAGGCAAAAAGAAUAAUAAGAGCAUGAGCCACAAGGUCUCCUGACACAGUCACCACCUGCAGCUUGGACACCCACAGGAGCUCCUACCCACUUUCCCUGUCAAAGAAUCUCUCCCACCACCUCAAACAAUCCUUACAGAAAACUGAGGCUUCACAUAAACUCUCUAAAAAUCAUCUCGGCUUUCUUUUGUAACAGAGAAUUUUGACCCCAUAGGACAAAACUUUUCUUAAACAAUCAGGAACAAAAACUUGGGAAAUGUGUGUCACGGUCAAAUCUCCCAAUGGAAAGAGACAAGCGCUGCAAAUAUCAUUUGACUUCGAACUCCCCUCUCCCAGCGCCCUUCCCCCUCCUCAGAGAUCGGAAUUUGAAUUGCAAACAGCCUCUGACAAUUUAUUUUUAUCUUACGAUGUCUAGUUUCUGCCUCCAAGAACACCCCAACCACUCCUGACUCCUCCAAGACUGUAAAUACAGAGUCCCAGCCCUGACCAUUUCCCCUCCUGAGACCAUAAAUGGAGAUGGAAACCAUUGCCCUUCUUGCCACUCAUUGGCUUCCUACAACAGCAAAGUCCACUCAGUUCGGUCACUGAGAGUUACCCCAGAAGCCAAGGAACCAAACUAACAUUCCUUUCCAAGAAGGGUGUCAUCCUUACAGGAAAGUGACCAGGGCACAGCAACUCUACCAUUUUCUUCCUAUAUUUGCAAACAUUUAUUCUCAUCAAAAAUAGGUUCACCAAGUUCUUAUAAUAUACAUGGGGAGAAACCAGAGAAAAGACAUUUUUUUCAAAGCCACCAAAUUGAGCUUACAAUUUUCUUUGGUUAUGUAACUGUGAAUACUGAAACCAGCCAUCUCUGACAGCUAUAAACACCUUUUACUUGAAGUAUACACCUGUAACACAUGUUUAAAAUUAGCACAACGUGCUGACAUCUACCAGGUGUUUGGUAAUGUCUAACUUGAUAUACUGAAAUUGCAUUAAAAAGAUUUCCAAACUGACUUUCUCUCCUUCAAGAUAGAAAUACACGUAAGCAGUACUUUGUAGGUCUAAUAAAUACCACAAAUUCAAGGGCAGUCUGUUUAAACAGGGCACAUAUAUCCACUAAGAUGGGGGGCGGGGUGCUCAAACACCAGCUUAACUGCUACUCUUAGACCCACUAGGAUUCACUAGAGAGCUUACACAUAGAUAAAAAGGACACUGGAGACCUUCCAAUUCUUACCACCCACAGAAAAGAUUGUACAAUACAUUAGCCUCCGAAUGCUUAAUCAAAGCAUAUCAUUAAAAGACUGGGCGGCUGUAUCAACAAUCCUAAACAAACCAACUAAAACCCUCUCUAAAUCAGAGAUCACGAUGCUCCCGAGUCCAGGAAAGAAGAGGCUGCAGCUCCCAUUUGAGUCAGCUACCGAAUCCGACAAGACCCACCAGCUGGCUUGCUUGGUGAUGUGCACUCCACUUGAGCAGCAAGGCUUGCUUCACUCACCUCACUCACCUCAGAAACAUCCAGCGAGCUCACCUCCAACUGGAGAACUCUACGAGUACUAACGGCUACUCUUCUGAAGAUAACAGUUAACCUCCUUACUGUGAGAAAUCUCUCCGGUACACUGAUGUUGAUAGUACAUUUUCGCCUCCCUGGAGGAGGGGCUGUAGGACUAAACUAUCCACCAAGACAGAGGUCAUAAAGAGUCAAGGAAAUCUAAACUGAACUAGGUUCAGCUGAGCAAGGUAACAACUUGAAGGGGCCGAACCAGAGUUGUGGUGUUUCAGAAAUGCCAGGUGAAUGCUUACUCAAUCCACCACACCAAGUGCUUAGGUUUCUGGGCUACGAACGGAAAAGAACCCGAGAAAAGGCUUGAGGGACGCUCCCUUACCAAAGCAGGGGGAGGAGGGUUGGCUGACCACUGAAAAUCUAUAGGACAGAGUGAAAGUCUUGCCAGAGUUUAAGAUUAAAGUAAAAGGGAAUCAGAGGAUAAAAAGAUGACAUUCAUUGUGCAUGAAUGCAUGGGGAGUCUAAGGGAGGAGGGCAGGUAAACAAAGGCAGGAGGUUUAGAUUGGCAGGAUUGAGGGCUUGACGGCAGCAAUGCAGAGAAAGACCCAGGGUUACAGUACACGUAACAUUAAAUACAGUGCACAAUGCAGCUAUCUUGCCAAAGUAAGUAAAUCCAGUAUUGGGUUGUGUAAGCAGAGGAAUCACAUGUAAGCUAUGAAGGUGGCUCUUCCUCUCUAUUCAGCACCGGUGAGGCCACAGCUGGAGCACAGCAUUCAGGUCUGGGCAUCGAACCAGCUACAAGAGAGGGAAAUUGUAGAGUUCAGAAAAGGGCAAAUAAAAUAAUGAAAGGCUUGGAAAAUAAGGUCUACAAGCAGGGCCAGUGAUCUCAAAGGCCUUCCUGACAUUAUUAAGUUCUCUAAGGCUGAGAUUUAGGCUUUUCACUUCAUAGUCCUCCAAUCCCUGCUCUUGCGUUUGGGAGGCGGGAAGAGCUAGUUAGUUCUUCCCUGGUUUGGGAAGAGAGGAGGCAAACUAAAUAGCUCAUGUCAUGUAGGCAUAGGCCAAGAAAACUGCGACUGGCAACUUACCCACUCCGCAUAAUACAACAGUCACCAUGACAAAACCACGGCUUUAACAAAAUUGGCAACAAGUGGACAGAGCAUACAAUGAGCAGGAGCAGAAAUAAGGCGUAACAGCUAUGUAAACGUGUGGCUUAAAAAAACACUGGCUUCACUGGUCUAAGAUGUCAGAUGAGAAGUGAAGUGACCCUGAGGGGAGGACAGCUUAGGUAUAAUAGCAGGAAACAAUGUUAUAAGAAAAAACAGUAACAGCGUUUCAAAUGGAGCUGUUAUAAACUGGCCACACUAAACAUGCAUGUUUACCCCAGCAGCCAACUGAAUGCCACAAAACCAAAAUUCCUCUCACACAAAUGACUAAGUAAGGCAAGUUUUCAAAAAUCAUAUACUCCACCAAAAAAGUGGGGAAAUCAGAAUAUAAAUCUCCAGUAACUAUUUUUCUUAUAGAAGUGUCCAAAUAACACCUCAAGCUGGACAUAGCAGUUCAGUUCUAUAAUACCAGCACACAGUGCAGAAAGACUGCUGCAAGUUUAAGGCCAGCCUGCUGAGGCCUUGUCUCUAGAAAACAAAUAACCCCACUAAACAAAUACCUCUGACUAAGACAAAUGAGUAGUCUCUGCAAAAUAGAUCCUUUUCCUUUAAACUCCUAUUACAGUUAUUACCUGAGGCAACAAAAUAAGUUUAAAAAAACUGAAAAGGUCUGAGGACACAGCUCAGUGCAAUGCUUGCCUAGUAGUAGGCCCUGGGUUCAAUCUUAAGUAACACCUCCCCCUCCUCCCCAGCCCCCCAGCCCCCCAAACACAGAGCCUGAGGCUAUGGCUCAAUUAGUAGAGUGCUUUCCUAACACGUUACCAGCAGGUGGCGCAUGUCUGUAAUCCCAACACUGGGCGGCAGAGGUAGGAGGAUUUCUGUGAACUCCAAGUCAGCCUGAUCUACUAGAGUUCCAAGACAGCCACAGCUAAAUAAAGAGGUCUGACUCAAAAAAGAAAAGUAAAACUGCAUAAAUUCACAUCUUUUGACAUAUAACUGUAACUCUGGAGUAGAAAGUACCUAAAACAAAACCAUUUGGGAAAAACUCUUAGUAUUAUUAUACUGGGUUUUCUGGUAAACAGACUAAAACCAACUAAAAGGAAAAAAGAAAGAAAAAGAAAAGACAAAGAAAAAAUACAGGAGUUUAUUUCACACUCGCCUGGCUCUGCAUGUUAGAGAAGAGCAAAAACCUCCUAAUUCUAGACAUUUUGCUUUUCCUCUCCUUAUGCAGGAGAAGUCCACGCCUGUGACGACCAUGGACCCCUUCCUGGGAAAAAGGCACACAUCACAAACUCCUCAAUCUCCCUGAGCAGCCAUCUGUUCUAAAGCCUGCUCUGUGGCAGAGGCUUCUCUCCAGGAAAGAAUGAAAGCUGUAUUCGGAAAUCUAAGAUAGGUAGACUUAAUUUGUAUGACAGACUUCAGACAAGGUUCUAAAGCCUGGCCCAAUGAGGGCCAGCAAGAUGGCUUAGCAGGUAAAGGCACCAUAAAUAAUCCUUAUAAACUGCUUAUUUAUAUGUUUAUUUUGUUAUGGACAUGGUUUCUCUGUGUAGCCUUGGCUGUCCUGGAACUCACCCUGUAGACCAGGCUGGCCUCGAACUCAAGAGAACUACCUGCCUCUAUAUCCUGACUGCUGGGAUUAAAGAUGUGCACUACCACACAGAGCAUGUUUUUUUAUGUGAUAAAAAAAUUGUUUUUUUCUGAAGUGACAAUAGCAAUAUUUAAAAACUUCAUUCUGGGCUACCCCAUUUCAAAACAAAACAGAACGACUCCAACGAAAGUGGCAGGUACCAUGGAAAUGUUUGGCAAGUGAUACAAAUGACAAACUGAAAAUGGACCCUAGGCAUGCUGGGGACACACUUACAAUGGAGCCCAACGUGGGCGGAAAUGUUAAACAGGGUGAUUUCCAUACAGGAUAGUAUCGCAGAAAAAGCACCCCUUUAAAGUUGUCUGUCAGCAUCUUUUCCAGGCUUUUGUCUGGUCUUGUUUUUGUUUUCUCACUACUUCACUCUUUGGGGCUCUGACUCCAAGUGUUAUUCAGAUAACAUUGUCAUUAAUUUAUUAAAAGGUGAUAACGAGGGGAAAAGCACAUUCACAAAUAUACUUCUGGCAAUGGCAGAGGGGGCCAUUCCUCCCCUUUUAAAAGUCCCUGCAUGGGACUGAAGAGAUGGCUCCACGUUAAGACCAUGUGUUGGUUGUUUUUGAAGAGGACCUGAGUUCAAUUCUCAGCACCCACAUCAGAAAGCUGUAACUCCUCCAGCUGCAAGGGAUCAGACACCCAUUUGACUUCAUCAGACAGACAGACAGACAGACAGACACACAUGAGUAAUAACAAGUUAUUUAAAAAAUAAGUCCCCAGGGGUUGGGGAUUUAGCUCAGUGGUAGAGCGCUUGCCUAGGAAGCGCAAGGCCCUGGGUUCGGUCCCCAGCUCCGGAAAAAAAAAAAGUCCCCAUACAAACUAUGAACUAAUUAUUUCACAAUCAAUCAUGCCCCCAAAUUAAGACCACUCCCCUAACAACAAUGCCCAAGUAACAACGAAAACCCUGACAGGCUUUUAUAGUGAUAACAUUACCUUGCUCCUGAAAUCCAAAUCAUUCACAGUUUAAAAGAGAAACAAGUGGGUCAGAGAGAAGGCUCAGCGGGUAGAGGAGCUUGCUGAAUGGGCUGGCAACCUGAGGGCCCUAGAACCCUUACAGUGGUGGGUAGAGAGACGACUGCACAAAGUUGGCCUCUGGCAUCCUCACGCACACUGUGGGGCACGCCUCCGAGAAUAAUUUUUAAAAAGGAACCUAAAUAGCAGGCCACUUUAUCCCUGUCAUACGCUGGCCAUGUGACUAUCUUAGUUUGUACUAGCUUUCUUGCUGUAAACUAGCAUAGAGCACACCGAGUGUUUUCAUUCCUAACUUUUGCAUUUAUGAGAUCAAUCCUGACAUCCACAAUAGCUCAUCUGAAAACUAAAGCUACUAGAAACCCUCCAUGAGCAAUGAGCAGUGAGGGCACUGGGUGAUCUUGUAGAGGACCCUAGUUCAAUUCCCAGCACCCACAAGGCGCUUUACUACUGUUUAUAAUUCUAAUCCCCGAGAUCUGAGGUCUUCUGACCUCUGAAGACAACCAGCACAUACAUGGUGCAGACAUACAUACAGCCAAAACAUUCAUUCAAGGAAAAAAAAUUCUAGGUCCAAACACUGAAUCGAGAUUUAGCUAGUUCUGGGCUGGAGAGAUGGCUCAGUGGUUAAGAGCACCGACUGCUCUUCCAGAGGUCCUGAGUUCAAAUCCCAGCAACCACAUGGUGGCUCACAACCAUCUGUAAUAGGAUCUGAUGCCCUCUUCUGGUGUGUUUGAAGACAGCGACUUAUAUAUAAUAAAUACAUCUUAAAAAAAAAAGAUUUAGCUAGUUCUAAAAAUGUAGUUUUUUUUUGCAUUUACAUGGUAUAAAGUAUAAGCCACAACUGUGGCUCUCUUACUGUUUUUAUGAAAACUUAAGUGGUAAGCAACUUUAAGUUUACUCUAAGUCUCGGCCUUAAAGAAACCUAAACUUGUUUAGGACGUUGGAAGAAAAUGUAGAUGAUCAGGAUAGGACAGAGUGGGUACACCCCUAUAAUCCCAGCACUGGGGGGCAGAGGCUGGGACAUCAUUCAUCCACCAUAAUCCUGUUACACAGUCAGUUUCAAGGCAGCCUGAGGUACAUGAGAUUCCAUCUCAGGGGUAAAAUGUGUUAUUGAGUUUUGUCACAAGCAGAAAUUAUACUGCAUUGGCCCAAACUUAAUCAGCAUGAGUGUGUCAUUGCACAUUCGUGGCUUCUUAACCAGUGUAAGCAGGGCAGCCACCAUAGCAAAGCAUUCCGAUUACAGUAAUGACUUAAGUCGAUACACUAUGUACUAAUGAGUCAGGUAAGCACCUAAACUACCAGCAGCAACUCGCUGUCACCUUCAAGUGUUAUGCAUGCACCGUCCACACUUACAUGUGCCACUGUGUGACUUUUUCCUAUUGCUGCUCCGUGUUUUGUUAGACAGUUUCACUCUGUACCUCAGGCUAUCCUGAAAACUCAUGGAAAUCCUCCUUUAUCAGUCUUCCCUGUUACUUUUUGUCAACUGGCCAUAAGCUAAAGUCAUUUGGCAAGAGGGAACCUAAAUUGGGGGGAAAAGUCUGUAUCAAAUGAUCUGUAGGCAAGUCUAUGGGGCAUCUUCUUGAUUAAUGACUGAUGUGGGAAGGCCCAGCUCACUAUGGUUGGCACCACAGCUGGACAGGUGGUCCUGAGGUAUAAUAAAGCAAGCUGAGCAAGCCAGAGGGAGCAAGCCAGUAAGCAGUGUUCCUCCUCCAUGGUCUCUGUCCAGGCCUUGCCUUCAGGUUCCUAAAUGAGUCCAGGCCCUGACUUCUCUUCAUGAUGGACUGCAAGCUGUAAAAAUGAAGUAAAUCCUUUCCUCCUCAGAUUGCUUUUGGCCAUAUGUACUAAAGAAAGAGGGAAUGACAGGACUGCCUUUGUACAGGUUCAUUAUUCACAAAAAUUCCAUCGUGUGCAACACAACUUGUAUUCAUCAUCCCUGCUGUUAUCUCUAAGGUGGCAAAGUCCCUGACCCUUUACUCAUGCAGUAAAUAAUAGAAGCACGAGGAAAUGGCCAUAAUCUAUAACAUCUCUUGGCAAGUAAGCCCCAUACUUACCUGUUUUUACUGUCGAAAAAUAAUUGUGCCUCGAAGAUGUUUCUUCUGCUUUAAUUCAAGGUCACCCUCUUUAAGAGGGGUUGACAGCCUAAGAACCACCACCAUCUACUGGAGAUGUGAACAAAUGCCAAUGAAUUGUGUAUAAUAAAGACUUUAACCGUAUCUUCACAUGUGUUUUAAACUCUUCCUUAAAACUUUCCAAAGCAGAACUGGUGUUUUUUGUUAAGUCCUCUUUUAUAACGCAAAACUCAAUGUUCACUGUGAGAAGGAAUAUAUUGAUUAUAAGGAUGGACCUAAAAAGUUUAUAGAGGUCUGGGAAGAUGGCUUAGCUGUUAAGAGCACUGGCUGUUCUUCCAGAGGAUCCAGAUUCAAUUCCCAGCAUCCACAUGGCAACUCCCAAUAGUCCUUAAGUUCCAGAGGAUCUGAUGCCACCUUCUGGUCUCCUCUAGCACUGCAUACGUAUGAUGCACAGAAAGAUAUGUGCAAGUAAAAUAUUCAUAAACUAAAAUGUUUAAGUUGAUGGUUUGAAAGCAUGAGUGAUGAGUACCUGGGAUGUAAUGACUCAGCAGCCCACUUUCCAUGUGGUAGAUAGAACGUGCCCCUUUGUUAAGGCUUGGACACAUCUGUCCUGACACAUCUGCAGCUGAUGUCUCUCUAUAGACGGAUGUUCAAUACACCAGGCAGUGUUUUGUCACAUUCAAUCUUUAUAGGUUUCGUUGUAAACAUUUUGUGACUUUAAUGUCCAACUGUGACAGCUUUCCAAAAAGCUGUGGUGCCAGUUUUCAUUUUACAAGAGUUUUUGAGGAACUCAAAACCAAAUGAGUCUAAAGCGGUAACCGUAACUGUAUUUCUCUGUUCAAGCAUACAACAUUUGCAAUCAAUAGAUAAUUUCAACUGAGACAGAUGACUUAGCAUCAAAAUAAGAAUACAGCAAGCUGUUAGAUCCCAUAAAUUGAAUGAAGAAAAUUAACUCUGAGAAAAAUAUACAGUAUAUAAAAUGUCCAGUAUAUAAAAGGAACAGAGCUUAAUCACACACACACACACACACACACACACACACACACACAGAGAGAGAGAGAGAGAGAGAGAGAGAGAGAGACAGAGAGACAGAGAGACAGAGAGGGUGGGGUGGAGUGGAGUGGAGUGGAGUGGGGUGGGGUGGGGGGAAUAGUACGAGGGCUGAACACAGAGUUCAGCUGGUAGAGUGCUUGCCUAGCAUGCAUGUAAGUCCUAGGUCUGAUCCCAGGAUUACGUAAAUGAGGUAUGGUGGCAAAUGUCUAUAAUCCCAACACUAAAGAGACAGAAAGAUCAGAAGUUCAAAGCCAUCCUCCUCAGCCAUAUAGUGAGUGUGAAGCCAGCCUGGGCUAAGUGAGACCCUAUGUAGCGGGUAGGGGAACAGACAGAAAUGAAAAAACAGAAGGAAAAAAUACGUAUGUAUAGUGGUGGGUCCAUCUGGAUCCUACUACAUGGUUUUGGUAUUACAUUUAUGCUUUAUGAUCCAAAAACAUUACUGCAGUUGUCAAAAUUUAAAGAAAGUGGGCUGGUGAUCCGUAGGAGGAAAUAAACCAAGUUGUUAUAAACACAGGAUCUGGAACAAGAAUGCUUCUCUAUUGUCACCACCUGCUAGCUUUGUGACAUUAUCCAAAUUAAUCUCUCUGUGCCUUAACUUUUCCAUCUGUAAAGCAGCGUUAAGGACAGUGCUCCCAACACAGAUCUGUUGUGAGUAUUAAAUGGGAAGUAGAACAUUUAAAGUGAUAUACCUAACUGCUUUCAUUCAGUAAAUGUUAGCUAUUAUGAUCGUUACAAAAUGACACAAGCACAGUGUGUGUGUGCACUGAAAGGCUCAUGGAUAAAGGUAAGCUGGAGUAGAGCAAAGCAGGAAAUUAAAGUGUUAUAUCAAAGGCACGCAGUGAGCAUAAAGUGUGAAUGACACCUUCAAAUGAACCUCUCUGUCAGGACUACAUCAAAGACUCAAUUACAACACACCUCCAUCUAUCUCUAUAAAAGACCCUUACUGCAGCAAUCAACAUGGGCAGCGCUAGUGGACGCCUUUAACUCCAGCACUAGGAGGCAGGGAGGCAGAGCCAGGCAGAGCUGAGAUUGAGGCUAGUCUGGUCUACAGAAUGAAUUUCUGGACAGCCAGGACUAUACAGAGAAAUCCUGUCUCAAGAAACAACAACAACAAACAAAACAAAACAACCUCCCCCCCAAAAAAACCCCAAAACCCCAAACAAAGAAGUCAUGUAGGGAAAAAACGAUCAAGAGUUUCAACCAACCCACAUCAUUCAACAUGUUACAGAGAGGCUACCUUGACUUUCUCCCAUUUAGUAUUUAUGAUUUUAAGAUGAUUUUGUUUGGUAACAUAAGCUCAACACACAAUAGGACUUCAUACCUAGAUGAAGGUUUGUGACAUUUACCCAGAAUCAAAUUUUGGAAACAUCUAGCUUUGUCAACUGAGUCCAACAAUUUUAGGCUUAGCAUGACUAUAACAUGUAAUUAACAUACUGACAUAUAAACAAAGAAGGAAAAAGUCUCGCUCCUACCCAGAGAACUAAGCCCCACUCACUGGCAACCUAUUCACAAGAAGCCAGUGCAAGGGAAAACUUAAUACCAACAAUGAAAUUAGGUGCAUGAAUGACCCACACAUUUUCUUGGAGUUUGGUAGAAUAAAGAAAGCCAUCUAGUUCCUAGUUUUGCCUCAUGGAAAUAUACUGAAAUUACAAGCAGGUUUAGCAGUCUUGUUGAAAUAGAAACAUUUUGGGGAUAUGUGGUUAUGCUUGAGUAAAGAACUUAAAACUUCUUCCAUUUUCUAAGUGUAGUAAUAUGGAUACAUUACUUAAAGGAAAAAUGAAAUGAGCACAACACUGACCUCAGUGAGCCCAAGUGCUGUUUCCUAAUUUCAGCAAGAGAAGAAAAUUAAGUACUUUGGCUCAGGACUGCUCACGCUGCAUCAGGAGGAGAGGGGUGCUCUGAGCUAAGCACUGACAACAGUAACAGCACUUUGUUGCUGCUUAGGAAGGCAUCACUUGGAUGUGCACAAUGUAAAAGAAUUUUUAGAAAGCAUGAAAAAUAUUCUCAACAAAAACAAAAGCCAAUCACCCCAUUCCUUAUGUAAAUAAAGGUGCAGAGUAUGGUUUUUAAACUGAGGCCAAUAAGCUUCUAUCAGAGAUACCACAAAUGAGGUGCUUUUGUCCUGAGCUAACUGUUCUUAUUUUGAAGCAAGCUACCACUAUACAGCCAAGCUGGGCUCAAACUCUUCUGCCCCCUGCUGUCAGGUGCUGGAAUUACAGGAGUAAAACACAGUUUGAAUUAGCUAUUUAAAUAUACCUAUUUUCUCAAGUGAGAACAUGAGAGGGUGCCUACCAGGCUCAAUCCUCAACAUUAUACGAACAUAAAUAUCAUUAUUUUCUAUCAAAAUAUUGGAUCUAUGGUUUUGCUUUGUUUUGAAUCAGUUUUGUAGGCAGGUGUGAUGAUGCAGACCUGUAAUCCUAGAAUCUGAGAGACAAGGGUGGGCCAAUAGAAGUUCAUAGCCGUCAGUUACAUAGUGAGUUACACAGUGAGAACAAACUGAGCUGGAGAUGCUGUCUUAAAGUUUCUUUUCAUUGAUAUAUCCCCUUCAAUGCCUGGCAUAUGAAAACGGAUUCACAAAUUUUUGAUGGGUGAGUGAUUAAAAAUUCUUUAACAUUAUGUCUGGGCAGUUCAGAUACCACAUACAAGGUUGACUUAACACAUUCUUCUUUUUUUUUUUUUUUUUCGGAGCUGGGGACCGAAUCCAGGGCCUUGUGCUUCCUAGGUAAGCGCUCUACCACUGAGCUAAAUCCCCAGCCCAACACAUUCUUCUUUAUAAGUUACAACCCAAUCUUUCUUUCCAUGUAGAGAAUAAUAUUUAUAAAUUAAAUAAAUAAUAAAAGCAGAUUUGAUUAUAUGAACUUUUAUUUUUAAUUAAUAUAACUUACAAACAUAAUUGGCUUAUUCAAAUAAAUGAAGUCAUCUAAAAGGAAAAGGUACUGUAAGUUUCAAAAGUUUGAGCUAUUACAGUGAAACAGUCUCACAGAGGAACUGCAACUAGCAACACAGAAGUACACAACUUCCUAUCUACUCUAUCAAAUACAGUGAAUCAAUAAUAUUUGCUAAUUCAAAAUACGAUUUUCAUUAACGUAGCUGAGAACACAAGAAGAAAACCAAAGUGAUGACUGCUGUCCUAGAAUUCCUGAGAACAGACACAAGUCUUUAUUUCAGUAAGGCUUAACAGCACAUCCUAAGUGAGCUAAGUGAUUAGCGCCAAGGAACACAGAAGUGUUCCACAGGCUCUCAGGAACUCUAAACCACAAACACAUGGUAACUACAAAGAGUUAAACACAUGUCUUUUUCCAAGUGCCAACAUCAUUCAUCCAGUACUCAGAACAGUGGAGAGGCUCAGCACAGAUCAUAAAUUCCAGAUAACUGUGGCAUAUGCAUAAGAGGUUCUAGUUCAUUAAACAUCCAUUUUAAAUACAUUCAGAAAUGUCUGUAAUGCCAAAAGUAGGCAGAAUAAAAGCAUGAUACAUAACCCCCCCCAUGAUGAAAAAGUUAAUAAGUACGUUCUUAUCCCUAUGACCAUAAAAAUUGCUUAAAAUCUAAAACAUUGCCAGGUUUGUUGGUGCAUGACUUUAACCUCAGCACUUGGGAAGCAGAGCCAGGUGGGUCUCUGUGAGUUUGAGGCCCACCUGGUCUACAGAGUGAGUUCCAGGACAGACAGGACUACACAGUGAGACACUGCCUCAGAAUCACUCAUAAAUGAAUGAAUGGAUAGAUGAAUGAAUUGCAUUAAUAGUACUUGCUAGCUGUUUUUGAAACUUUGAGCUCUUUCCCAUUUUAUUUCAUUUUCUAAACAUUAUUUUCCAUAGUGGCAGGGGCUGAGGGGUGUCCUUUCCCACCAAGGGAAAAUACUGCUAAUGCAGUGGUCACAACCUUCCUAAUACUGUGACCCUUUAAUAUAGCUCCUCGUGUUAGGAUGACUCCAGACCAUAAUAUUAUUUUGUUGCUACUUCGAAACUAGUUUUGUUACUGUUAUGACUUGUGAUGUAAGUAUCUGAUAUGUGAUGUGUGAGAAAUGGUCAUUCUACCUCCAAAGGGGUCCUGACCCUCAGGUUGAGAACCACUGUGCUAAUAUAUCUUAGCGUAGUGAUAAAAGCACAUUUGUAUGAUAAUAUAUAAAAUCUGGCCCAACAUGGCAGCAUAGUCUUAUAAUCUAAGCCUUCCAUAGGUGGAGACAGGAGGACUGAUCCAACUUCACAGCUAACCCAAUCUACCUGGUGAGGACUAGACCUGCCAGGACUAUCUUGUCUCAAAAUACUUUAAUUUUUUUUUUAACUGAAAUCUUAGAUCUGAAUUUUAGUUCUUAUCCUCUGGCAAAGAAAAAGAGCUAGAGAAGUAGGUAGGAUAAUCACUUCUGUCCACAUCUGUCCAAACUGGACAGACUAGAGACUAAGAGAAUGUAUCUUCCAGGCCAUAGGGCAGGGAUGUCCUAACAUGGUGUUCUAUGUCUACCUCACUGGGUUGUGAAUAAUGAAGCCUAACACUUAGCCAUGAAGUCCCAUAAAGGUCAUCUGUGAUCAUAGCAAAAAAAUGUCAAAGGUAGAUAGGCCAUUCCAGAACAAGUUAAGACCAACAAAUGAGUCCCUCAGGAACUGUGCCAGGUAUGCAUGGACUGUUCUCCUCUCCCAAGCUGCCACUGCAGCUGCUCUCACUGUCUGCCCAACUCACUGCAAGAAAUGAUUUCAAAAUGGCCUCCGUGCCUCCGCUCUUACCCUUCCUAGUCAUCCACAUCACCGCCAGUGACUGCUAUAAAAUGAAGACUAACCAUGUCUCUCGGUGACUUAAAAUGCUUUGCUGGCUAAGGAUAAAGCCCCACUCCCCUCCUGAUUGUCAGUAGUCUCCUUUGUCUUUCUACCUACUUCCCUUGACCCUUCGCUCUACCAGGUGUUCCACUGAAGAAUCUGGAACUUCAGGCCAUCUUGGAAUAACUCUACAGGAGUGUAGAGUGGGCAGGCGAUGGCUCUCGUUUCUGGGUCAGCUGACCUAAGUUUGAUCCUUGACACACACCAUCUUCUGGCCUCUACAGCCACCAGGCACACACAUGCUGCACAGAUGUAAUGCAGGCAAGAUGCCCAUACAUACAAAAUAAACAAUUUUAAAUAUAAAAUAAAAACUUUUAACACAAGCACAAAGCUGAGAGUGUAAAGUAAAGGUGUUUGCCACCGAACCUGACAGACCUGAGUUCAAUCUCUGAGGUCCAACUGGUAAAAGGAAAAAAAAACCAAUACCCCAAAGCUGUUGUACUGACUUGCACUCGAAUGCCCAAGAAAAUACACACAUAGACACCGUAACACAAUAAAAAAUUAAUAAAAUUUUCAAAAAGAGCAGAUUGAGAAAUUCUGAUAUUACCUCUGUAUCAUCCAGGUCUUCUUUGGGGGAGGGGCAGGGGCAGGUGAGAUGGGGUCUCAGUCAUGUAGGCCAGGGUAAUCUUCCUACCUCUAUUAGCUCAGCUCAGUCAUCUUAUAUCUAACUAAAGAUGGGUUCAGAAGUCAAUUUUAGUGCCUGUGACAACUGCCCACAUAGGAACUAAAGAGACAUCGCCCACUGGAAAACAAAAACUGCCCUAGUAAGGACAUCACUGGUACCAGGCUGUAGUCUCAGCAUUACAGGUUGCUGAGGCAGGAAGAUCAUGAGUUCAGGACCAACCUGAGCCACAUAGUUAGUUCUAAGUCAGUCUAAGCUACAAAGCAAAACUUUGCCUCCCUGCCUGAAACAGGAGCAACAAGGGGCUGGGGGUAGGGGUAGAAGAGGAACAUGGAGGGAGGGGGUCCUAGUGAUGCAAGAGGGUGCCUGGUAAGAUGAUUGAACAGGAGCUAGCUUAGGUCAGAAGGAUGGAUGUCAAGUAAGGGACAUAUGAAGAAGACCAAGUCUGAGAAGAAGGGCUGAGCCUAUGGGCACUGAGUAACAGGAGCUAUCCUGGCCCCUACAGUGCUACCCUAUAGCAAAACUUAUCUAGGGGGCCUCAAGUAUCUCUGGCCUACUUCAUGACCCCGGUAAUGGCUCCCUGCUACUGAAGACUUUCCAAGGUGAAGAUUACCACCUAUUGCUGCUCUAUCAAUGUGCAAAAGAGCAAAGAACCACAGCCACAAACCCUUAGUGAGAAGCACUCACAGAAACAGGGAAGUCGGGCAAGCAUCUCCUCCAAAUGUAAACCUUGGGGAGUGGAACAUCGAGGAUGAGUUCCUCGAGUGAGUUUUAAGCUGCCUUCCCUUUCUCUGUUCCUAUAGCUCUUCUAUUCUGCCAUCCCCUGAGAAUAGCAAUGUAGGGACAAUGUGACCCUCAGUUAUGUGUCCUCCUUCCUCUCAGUUCCCUAUACCAGUUUUAGGUGCAGAAUGUCUGGAGACCACUGGGACUGAGCUACAGACAGGAAGGGUAAGGGGUGCCUCAGGGGGGCUUACUGGGGAAGCAACACUGGCAAAGACUGGGAAGAAGGAAAAUGGGUGUGAUGCCAGGGACAACAAAGAGGGUUUAAGUCUGUGUUAGGAGUUUCCACAUCCAUAGCAUUAAAGAGGUUCAAAGCUGGCCUGCCCAUGUUCAAACAGGGGAGAACCUACUGGAGUAAAGUGCAGUGUCAGCAAGUUAGUGUCUGUAAAGCACAUGGACCAGUCUGUGGCAUGUGCUCAAUGCUACAUUACCUAGUGCAAGCUAUCGUUAUUAUUUGGUAAAAUUUAUUUCUACUAUAUUACAUGUUAUAGUAAUGUCCUAGUCCCCAAAGUAAAAUAUAUUCUUGUGUGUGAUAGCCAAAUAAAAACGUACAACUUUGGGUUUUCUUAAAAUCAAAAUUAAAGAAUACAAUGCAUUAUAGAUAUUUACACAACUACAGUUCAAUACAAAAAUAUGCUAAUAAUCAAAUACGUAACCUAGAACUGGCACAUUCACUCAAAUGCCAUCCUGAAACUACCAGUUUACGCUCAGAUGGUUCUCUAUGACACUACCAAGCAAUCAUGCACCGAUUCUAAACCACACCUUCACCAUAUACUACACAGCAAAUUGUUCAAUUAAAAGGCACUGCUUUUUAAAUCACUUAAAAUUUUUGGAACAAUUUCACUAUUUAGAAGAAUCCGGGUUACACUGCUCCUGAGCUCCACACCAACAACUCAUCUGCUCUACUGCCUUCUGCCCAACUAAACUUCAUGCUACCCUCAGGUAAAGCCUGGGAGCCGAGGGUAACAUGCUCCUGAAGCACAACCAUAGUGCCCAACGAACUUGGUAUCAACAGCAACACAACCACACAAACUUCACUACAGAGCAACUAGUUCUUCAGCGUCUAUCUCCUUCAGGUAAAGGCUCACCACUGUACCUCUCAACUACUGUAAGUAAUGAAGCUUUAACGUCUCUAUUUCAGACCUUAUUACUUAAAGAAAGCCUGGAUCUCAAGGAUUGAGUCCCAGUGUAUUAGUAAGAAAGAUAUCCAAAAGAUAACCAGGGCUACGUAUUUCCUCUGCUGACUGAUCAGGGACCUAAAAUCCUUGAAGAUUGGGGUAAUCCAUGCUAUUUUUUAGGAAUCAAGUUUAACCUAUGAAUUUGGAAUGACCAAAGCAACGAUGGGUCUGAGACAUUGCGCCCUUCAAAUGUAAUGAGAAUUAUCUCCUACUCCCUAAGUCAGCCAACACCAACAAGGAUAUUACAAGGAGUCUCAGAUUCAGAGUACAUUAUUCAUAAAUUUUACACCCAUUUUUGUCUUACUCAUCCCAAACCAGGGUAUUUUAUAUAUCCUAGUAAUUCGUAUAAAACUUUAAAUGUUUUUAGAUUUAUGUAUGUAUGUGCACCACGUUCUUACCCGUGCCCAUGGAGUCAGAGAGGGUAUCAAAAUCCCUGAAACUGGAGCUACAGAAUAGCUGUGAGCCACUAUGUGGUUGUUGGAAACUAAUCCGGGGUCCUUUAUUAGCACAACAAAUGUUCCUAACUGCUGAGCCAUUUCUCCAGCCCCUAAUUUACAUUUUUACUACUUACCUAAAAAUGUUUUAGAGGGUACAUGAAUUCCAAAGUCUCUGGGGACUACACAGCAGAAAAGCUUGAAGACCAUUAAUUUCAGAGUUGCUCUGGCCAAUACAACAGCACAGAGACAUGCAGCUAUCCACUUUAAGUUAAAUUAAAACAAAACCCAGCUGUAGUCCCUCUGGUACCAUUCCAGUUACUCACAGCACCUGUGGCUGUGCAGAUACAAAGCCUAUUACGUCACAGAAAGGCCUCCUGGACCUUAUGUGCCAAAAAAAAAAAAAAAACAAAAAAAAAAACAAGAA